CAGUGAUACAGGAGACAUGCGAAGUGCUGUAGUCGCUGUAAUAAUGUGCAGCAUUUUGGUUUGCCUAAGCGUUGUUCAGUAUUCAGAGAGUGAUAUGAAACCGGACAUUUUUUCGAUUUUAACUGGAAAACGUACACCAUUCAAGAACUGCUACAGAGCCGGAGCUAUUUGCAGAAGUUUCAUUGACUGCUGCCAAAAUUACUCGUGUAUUGAUUUUACAUGUUUAUACGACUACACUACGCCACAACCGGGCGUUACGACUCAGACUAUCUGGUGACUUGCCAUCCAGAAUUUCAAACAAUAAAAUCUGAUAGAAAAUUA